CCCUUGGAGAUGGGUUAUAAUGGUGCUUGAGAUUAAGUAACAUGAAUGGAGAGAAUAAAAUUAUGGAAGUUUUAAUAAAUCGAUGAAAGUUUUAAUAAAAUGCAUGUCAAAAAAAAAAAAAGAACACAAAUCUUGUUAUAAACAAGAAAGCACAGUAUGUUUGAACUUUAUGCCUCUUAUAAGCUCUUUUUUAUUGAUGGUUUCUUUACAAAGCUCUGCAUGUCUUUAAAGCAUUGAGCAAGUCACAGCAUUCACAGUGGGCCCAUAUAUUGGCUUAGAAUGGCUGGUGAUGUGCUCCCCAUCUGUGAUAGAAAUCAAGAUUUCUAGACAAAUAAAACAGGCAAGAAAGCUAUAAAGUUCAACAAAUUCAUGCUCCCUAGUUUACACAGAGUUGGUGUGUGUGAAUGAAGAAUUUCUGCAUCCAUCCCAGCCCAUAGAUCUUCACCGAGUAUCCACCCCAAGCCAGGCUCAGCUCCCUGCCCUAGUGAACAGAGGCAGCACCCAGGAGAAGGACUGCCUUCACCCAGACCUGCUGAGCCCUGUGGGUUUGCAGCCCUCCUCAUCCUCUCUUCUCUCCUGCUGGAGGCAGACUUCAGCUCUGGAGGCACAGGGCAGGAGCAGUGCCCAGCUCCCCUGGGCAUUCCCACUCUGCUUUAUCUGGGACACCAGGAACGCCCCCAGCCCCUGCACUCCCAGAAGUGACUAUUGCAGAGCUUCUAGCAGAAAACUCACACUGAAGAAACUCCCCCAUGCCUGCAGAAAAAGAUCAUAGUCCUGCAUCUGUGGCUUUGAUGAGCAAAAUGCCAACACCAAUGGAAAGGGUUUAUGCCUGUGGUACAGAAGGGGAGUGUGACAUGGAUGUUAACAAUAUUCCAGCACUGCUGGAAGCAGGGAGCUCACACACAGCCCUCCCCUCCACAGCAGACAUUGACUGAGGUGAAGAUCCAGCUAGCAUCUGAAUUGAACUCACACAGAGCUGCAGGAGAGUCACAAUUCUUUUUACUUAUUUCAUAUUUUACUUUACAUUUAGUCUUUCCUCCUUCCAGCUAUAGCAUUUAAUUAAUAACGUACUAAUAGCCAAAUUACAAACCUUACUAUUUUGCUGAGCUGUCCAAGGUCAAAAACUAUCCCUCAUAUAAAGCAAUCUCUAGCUGCUCUCUCUAUGUGGGGAAAAUGGGCAGCAAAAUUCAAAAGAUGCCAUGCACAAUUCUUUUGAAAGGAAUCUUUAAAUCAUCUUCCCAGAAACAGAAUUUAUUUGCUUUCUAGCCAUGGCAUCUUUUUAUGCCAUUUAUGAACUCAAUAGGAAAAACAAAAUCAGAGGGAGGAACCUAAUAGAUAUUAGAUAUUCUGUUUUGGGGUUCUCAAAUGGAGUAUUUAAGAAUAUUGAUUUUUGAAGAGCUGUUAUAUUGUAUUCCUGAACAUUAAACAUUAAAGUGUUUUUAGGCAGAUAUUUGACAACAGACAUCAAAUUUCCAUUAGCUAGUUUCUUGUGGAGACCUUGUGUUUAGAAAAGUGCUCAAGACAGGGAGACAAAUCCUAAGGAUUUUUAAUUACACUUAUAAUCCUGUCUCUGUCUGGUAUUUUUGAAAAUAAAAACAACACAGAAAGACAAACAAAACAGCAACUCAGGAAGGGCAGACAAUGGUGAGCACUCAGUGCCUUGGUUCACUUCCCAGCUUUGUUUUUAGCUAUGGACCACUCAAUUUGUCUUUCUUUUUCUCUCCUACAGCAGAUGUAACACUCUGAUCAGGAAAUACUUAAAUGGCACAUCUGGGAAGAGGCCGUUGUGCUGAUACAAUUUAAAGGGUAAGAAAGACUGCUUUAAUAAUCAAAUAGCAUAUUUAAAAGUCCAUGUAGCAAAAAAAAAAAA
ensembl:lncRNA